rnacentral:rRNA from 1 species
AGUGAACGCUGGCGGUAGGCCUAACACAUGCAAGUCGAACGGUAGCACAGUAAGAGCUUGCUCUUACGGGUGGCGAGUGGCGGACGGGUGAGGAAUACAUCGGAAUCUACUUUUUCGUGGGGGAUAACGUAGGGAAACUUACGCUAAUACCGCAUACGACCUACGGGUGAAAGCAGGGGAUCUUCGGACCUUGCGCGAUUGAAUGAGCCGAUGUCGGAUUAGCUAGUUGGCGGGGUAAAGGCCCACCAAGGCGACGAUCCGUAGCUGGUCUGAGAGGAUGAACAGCCACACUGGAACUGAGACACGGUCCAGACUCCUAAGGGAGGGAGCAGUGGGGAAUAUUGGAGAAUGGGCGGAAGCCUGAUCCAGCCAUACCGCGUGGGUGAAGAAGGCCUUCGGGUUGUAAAGCCCUUUUGUUGGGAAAGAAAAGCAGCAGGUUAAUACCCCGCUGUUCUGACGGUACCCAAAGAAUAAGCACCGGCUAACUUCGUG